UACGGAGGGGACAAGCGUUGACCGGAAUUAUUGGGCGUAAAGCGAGCGCAGGCGGUCUGUUAAGUCUGAUGUGAAAGCCCACGGCUCGACCGUGGAGGGUCAUUGGAAACUGGAAGACUUGAAUGCAGAAGAGGAAAGUGGAAUUCCAGGUGUAGCGGUGAAAUGCGUAGAUAUAUGGAGGAACACCAGUGGCGAAGGCGACUUUCUGGUCUGUAAUUGACGCUGAGGCUCGAAAGCGUGGGGAGCAAACAGG
rnacentral:misc_RNA from 1 species